UGACUUAAGUAGAGAAAGAGAGAGAUCAAUCCACAACCCCAAAUCACAAGCGGGUAGGAGAGAGGA